GGAUUUUAGGGAAUUACUUCUGCUCCAAAGCAUGUAGGUAUAUCUGCUUUUAGAACUUGUGGAGAGGAGAAUACAUGGGAAAUGCUGUAAUCAUCUUUUGGGUGCUGGUUGGCCUGUUUAGUAGGUAGAUGAGCACAUAAGAGUUUUGACAGAUGCUGCCAUAUUAAAAAUCCAUUCUUUAAAAUGCCAUUAAAAUUAUUACUUCAAACAUGAAGCUGUUGAAGCUGUAUCAGUGGAUUAACUUUUCAUGGGGCUAAGCUACUUAAUGGUUUGUUUGUUACUUACCUUGGCUAUUGAAAAUACUUCAGGGUUUGGGGUUUUGUUAGGGAGAACUAAUGAGGCUGAUCCAUUCCUUUUGGAUCUUUAGCUGCUCUCAUUCUGGGGGUUCUGCACUAGAAACUUCAAUUACAAUGAAGGUGUUGAUGAGAUUUCUGCUUUUCCCACCUCUCUU